rnacentral:rRNA from 1 species
UACGUAGGGGGCAAGCGUUGUCCGGAUUUAUUGGGCGUAAAGAGCGUGUAGGCGGCCGUACAGGUCAGCUGUGAAAACUCGAGGCUCAACCUCGAGACGUCGGUUGAAACCGUACGGCUAGAGUCCGUAAGAGGAGAGUGGAAUUCCCGGUGUAGCGGUGAAAUGCGCAGAUAUCGGGAAGAACACCCGUGGCGAAGGCGGCUCUCUGGGACGGUACUGACGCUGAGACGCGAAAGCGUGGGGAGCGAACAGG